rnacentral:rRNA from 1 species
AUGACGAUGAAGCGUGCCGGCUUGAUUCAUGCUUGGCUCGGGCGGUUGAAGGAAGGAAAGGCCAAGAAAAGAAGGUGCCCGCCUCGCCUGCCGAAACCGAACUCCACUCCGCGCCGGAAUGCCCCAUCCAUCCAAAUGCGACGCGAUGGAUGGUCCACGGUGUGGCGGAGCGGCACUGUUGCGCCAUUGAGCGGCGGCGGAGGAGGAGGAGGAGGAGGAGCACCCUCUCUGUUCCCUGCGCCACAAGCAACAGCGCCGCUCCCAAUUUAUUUACCCGCCAGCCCCGCUCCGAGAUCUGCAGCAGCACAGUUCCCGAUUUUAAUUCCGCGCAGGCACAUGCGGGGCCGACGGCCUUGGUGA